rnacentral:lncRNA from 1 species
AGUAACUCAGAACUCUAAUGGGCGAAUUUGUUUACAAUUUGAUAGCAAUCCUCCUAUCUAUAGAAAUUCUUUCUCAAUACUAAGAAGACUUCCUUCUAUUCAUCAUAUAUCUCCUAUAGAACCUCAGUAUGGCCCAGCUAGGAAUCGAGCGGCAUCUUUGCAUACUAUUAAUUCUGCAGAUUCGCAUAUUACACCUAAAGGUGUAGAAAAGAUAAAAAUCAACUCAAAAACUAAUAUAGUUCAAGAUUUCGAUAAUGAAAAUCCUAC